rnacentral:rRNA from 1 species
AGAGUUUGAUCCUGGCUCAGGAUGAACGCUGGCGGCGUGCCUAAUACAUGCAAGUCGAGCGAACUGAUUAGAAGCUUGCUUCUAUGACGUUAGCGGCGGACGGGUGAGUAACACGUGGGCAACCUGCCUGUAAGACUGGGAUAACAUCGGGAAACCGAAGCUAAUACCGGAUAGGAUCUUCUCCUUCAUGGGAGAUGAUUGAAAGAUGGUUUCGGCUAUCACUUACAGAUGGGCCCGCGGUGCAUUAGCUAGUUGGUGAGGUAACGGCUCACCAAGGCAACGAUGCAUAGCCGACCUGAGAGGGUGAUCGGCCACACUGGGACUGAGACACGGCCCAGACUCCUACGGGAGGCAGCAGUAGGGAAUCUUCCGCAAUGGACGAAAGUCUGACGGAGCAACGCCGCGUGAGUGAUGAAGGCUUUCGGAUCGUAAAACUCUGUUGUUAGUGAAGAACAAGUACGAGAGUAACUGCUCGUACCUUGACGGUACCUAACCAGAAAGCCACGGCUAACUACGUGCCAGCAGCCGCGGUAAUACGUAGGUGGCAAGCGUUAUCCGGAAUUAUUGGGCGUAAAGCGCGCGCAGGCGGUUUCUUAAGUCUGAUGUGAAAGCCCACGG